rnacentral:rRNA from 1 species
AUUGAACGCUGGCGGCAUGCUUUACACAUGCAAGUCGAACGGUAACAGGCCGCAAGGUGCUGACGAGUGGCGAACGGGUGAGUAAUGCAUCGGAACGUGCCCAGUCGUGGGGGAUAACGCAGCGAAAGUUGCGCUAAUACCGCAUACGAUCUAUGGAUGAAAGCGGGGGACCGUAAGGCCUCGCGCGAUUGGAGCGGACGAUGUCAGAUUAGGUAGUUGGUGGGGUAAAGGCUCACCAAGCCGACGAUCUGUAGCUGGUCUGAGAGGACGACCAGCCACACUGGGACUGAGACACGGCCCAGACUCCUACGGGAGGCAGCAGUGGGGAAUUUUGGACAAUGGGCGCAAGCCUGAUCCAGCAAUGCCGCGUGCAGGAAGAAGGCCUUCGGGUUGUAAACUGCUUUUGUACGGAACGAAACGGUCCUGGUUAAUACCCGGGGCUAAUGACGGUACCGUAAGAAUAAGCACCGGCUAACUACGUGCCAGCAGCCGCGGUAAUAC